rnacentral:tRNA from 1 species
UUGCGGGUUGGUCAGGCUUGGACGCGUUUGAUCGCAGCAAACACCUGCGGGCAUUCGCAGAAGUGGUGCGGGAUAAUAUUCCCUUACUUGCAGU